UUAACGUACAGUGUAAUGUUAGUUUCAGGUGUACGAUAUAGCGAUUCAACCGUAGUCACCAUGACAAGUGCCUCCUUAAUCCCCCCAUCACCUACUUCACCCAUCCCCACACCCAACUCCCCUCUGGCAACCAUCAGUUUCUUCUCUUUAGCUACGAGUCUGUUUCUUGCUUUGUCUCUUUCUCUCUCUUUUUUUCCCUUUGCUCGUCUGUUUUGUUUCUUUAAUUCCACAUAUGAGUGAAAUCACGUGGUACGUUCCCUCCGACUGGCUUAUUUCACUUAGCGUUAUGCUCUUUCACUCCAUCCGUGUGGUUGCAAAUGGAAAGAUUUCAUUCUUUUUACGGCAGAAUCGUAUUCCAUUGUGUAUAUAUGCCACAUCUCCUUUCGCCAUUCGUUUAUCAGUGGACACUUGGGCUGCUUCCAUAAUUCAGCUAUUAUAAAUAGUGCUGAUAUCAAAAUAGAGGUGCAUAUAUCCCUUUGAAUUCAUGUUUUUGUGUUUUGGGGGUAAAUAUGCCAUACUACAAUUACCGGAUCAUGGGUUAAUUCUGUUUUUAACUUUUUGAGGAGCCUCCAUACUGUUCUCCACAGUGGCUGUGCCAGUUUGCAAUCCAACCAACCUUGCAUGAGCUUGUUGACAUGAUGGAUUACAUUAAUCAGUUUUUGAAUAUUGAGUCAGCCUUGCAUACCUGGAAUACAUCCCACUUGUAAAACAAGCAGAAGAUGCAGCAUUUGAGAGAUACCUUCAUUUGGGAGAUACGUAAACAAGACUGAAAAUUCCAUCUCUAUGUUUUUUUUUUUACAAAUGUGACCAUAUGAAAGCUUUUGUAAGUGUCACCCAUGCAUAUUGUUUUCUGCAACAAAAAUAA